rnacentral:tRNA from 1 species
GCCGUAACCAAAGCUCAGUUGGGAGAGCGUUAGACUGAAGAUCUAAAGGUCCCUGGUUCAAUCGGGUUUCGGCA